AUUGGCCCGGACGUGAGGCGCGCGGAGAUGACAUCACGGGCGCCAUUUUGGACGUUGUUCCGUGCUUCCUUCUGUCUUCGGUUUUGGUCGGCGUUCCUAAGAGGAGUUACUGAAAAGGUGGUUACACUGCAGUUCCGAAGAAAGGAACAGAACUAAAAUGCCUCCUCUUGAAACAGAUACGACGGUGGAAACCCAAGAUACAGAAAGAGUCGACUAUCAUAUGGUACAGGAGCUUAAACACCUGUGCUCAAUGAUAAAGAAGGUAAUGUCAGAGCGCUUGGACCGAAUCAGGGAAUUGAGAGAGUUAACAGAAAUGUGCAAGGAGGAUUGGCCGCAAAAUCGAAUUACUGAAGUAAAUGCAAAACAAGAGAAAUUUUCACAGAAUGCAGAGAAAGGGGGAAACUAAACCAUGAUAAAAGAAGACAAGAAGAGACCAAGAGAUACAAUCUACACAUAAUUAGACUAUCUGGAAUGGAAGACAAAACAAGUAGCUUAAACAAUUACUAAGGAACUGUUUGAACUAAAUUUCCCAGAGUUGAAGAACCAAUUAGAUCUACAAAAAGAAAAAGCUCACAGAGUAC